rnacentral:rRNA from 1 species
ACGAACGCUGGCGGCACGCUUAACACAUGCAAGUCGAACGAGAUCUUCGGAUCUAGUGGCAGACGGGUGCGUAACGCGUGGGAACCUGCCCUUUAGUAAGGAAUAACUCAGGGGAAACUUGUGCUAAUACCGGAUAAGUCUUUACGGAGAAAGCUUUAUGCACCAUUGGAUGAGCCUGCACUUGAUUAGUUUGUUGGUGGGGUAAUGGCCUACCAAGACUGUGAUCAAUAGCUGAUUUGAGAGGAUGAUCAGCCACAUUGGGACUGAGACACGGCCCAAACUCCUACGGGAGGCAGCAGUGGGGAAUCUUGC